CUACCCUUGACAUGCCAGGAACUUGCCAGAGAUGGCUUGGUGCCCGAAAGGGAACCUGGACACAGGUGCUGCAUGGCUGUCGUCAGCUCGUGUCGUGAGAUGUUGGGUUAAGUCCCGCAACGAGCGCAACCCUUGUCAUUAAUUGCCAUCAUUUAGUUGGGCACUUUAAUGAGACUGCCGGUGAUAAACCGGAGGAAGGUGGGGAUGACGUCAAGUCCUCAUGGCCCUUAUGGGUAGGGCUUCACACGUAAUACAAUGGUCGGUACAGAGGGUCGCCAACCCGCGAGGGGGAGCCAAUCUCAGAAAGCCGAUCGUAGUCCGGAUUGUUCUCUGCAACUCGAGAGCAUGAAGUCGGAAUCGCUAGUAAUCGCGGAUCAGCAUGUCGCGGUGAAUACGUUCCC
rnacentral:rRNA from 1 species